rnacentral:rRNA from 1 species
UACAGAGGGUGCGAGCGUUAAUCGGAAUUACUGGGCGUAAAGGGCGCGUAGGCGGUUAUGUGAGUGUGAUGUGAAAGCCCCGGGCUUAACCUGGGAAGUGCAUUACAAACGGCAUGACUAGAGUAGAAGAGAGGGUAGCGGAAUUUCCGGUGUAGCGGUGAAAUGCGUAGAGAUCGGAAGGAACAUCCAUGGCGAAGGCAGCUAUCUGGCUUCAUACUGACGCUGAGGCGCGAAAGCGUGGGGAGCAAACAGG